GCUAGAGAUUAUACCAAACCACUUUGGAUACACCUGAUCUUAUCCCAUUUUGGAAGGUAAGGUGGCUCAGGCCUGGUUGGUACUUGGAUAGGAAACCAUCAGAAAAUACAAAAUUGCUCUGAAG
rnacentral:rRNA from 1 species